UGAGAGUAGAGGGAGGUCCUCGUCUAUAGUCUUGGAGUUUAGACAUAGACAGAUUGAGGGGCUUACCUUGCAUAGUGUUGAGGAUGGGCCAACUGAACUAUGCAAGUGCAAAGACGACCAAUAGUUAGACAGGUUAUACCAAAUUCGGAUGAGUCGUGUUGAGUAUUUGAUGCAUGGUUUGGUUAGUAUGCCUUCACUAGUGCAGAGAAGGGAAUCUACCGCGAUUAUUUUUCACUAUACGUCGCGGUUUACGAACCGCGGCAUAUUAA
rnacentral:lncRNA from 1 species